rnacentral:rRNA from 1 species
AGAGUUUGAUUCUGGCUCAGGAUGAACGCCGGCGGUGUGCCUAAUACAUGCAAGUCGUACGCACUGGCCCAACUGAUUGAUGGUGCUUGCACCUGAUUGACGUUGGAUCACCAGUGAGUGGCGGACGGGUGAGUAACACGUAGGUAACCUGCCCCGGAGCGGGGGAUAACAUUUGGAAACAGAUGCUAAUACCGCAUAACAACAAAAGCCACAUGGCUUUUGUUUGAAAGAUGGCUUUGGCUAUCACUCUGGGAUGGACCUGCGGUGCAUUAGCUAGUUGGUAAGGUAACGGCUUACCAAGGCGAUGAUGCAUAGCCGAGUUGAGAGACUGAUCGGCCACAAUGGAACUGAGACACGGUCCAUACUCCUACGGGAGGCAGCAGUAGGGAAUCUUCCACAAUGGGCGCAAGCCUGAUGGAGCAACACCGCGUGAGUGAAGAAGGGUUUCGGCUCGUAAAGCUCUGUUGUUGGAGAAGAACGUGCGUGAGAGUAACUGUUCACGCAGUGACGGUAUCCAACCAGAAAGUCACGGCUAACUACGUGCCAGCAGCCGCGGUAAUACGUAGGUGGCAAGCGUUAUCCGGAUUUAUUGGGCGUAAAGCGAGCGCAGGCGGUUGCUUAGGUCUGAUGUGAAAGCCUUCGGCUUAACCGAAGAAGUGCAUCGGAAACCGGGCGACUUGAGUGCAGAAGAGGACAGUGGAACUCCAUGUGUAGCGGUGGAAUGCGUAGAUAUAUGGAAGAACACCAGUGGCGAAGGCGGCUGUCUGGUCUGCAACUGACGCUGAGGCUCGAAAGCAUGGGUAGCGAACAGGAUUAGAUACCCUGGUAGUCCAUGCCGUAAACGAUGAGUGCUAGGUGUUGGAGGGUUUCCGCCCUUCAGUGCCGGAGCUAACGCAUUAAGCACUCCGCCUGGGGAGUACGACCGCAAGGUUGAAACUCAAAGGAAUUGACGGGGGCCCGCACAAGCGGUGGAGCAUGUGGUUUAAUUCGAAGCUACGCGAAGAACCUUACCAGGUCUUGACAUCUUGCGCUAACCUUAGAGAUAAGGCGUUCCCUUCGGGGACGCAAUGACAGGUGGUGCAUGGUCGUCGUCAGCUCGUGUCGUGAGAUGUUGGGUUAAGUCCCGCAACGAGCGCAACCCUUGUUACUAGUUGCCAGCAUUAAGUUGGGCACUCUAGUGAGACUGCCGGUGACAAACCGGAGGAAGGUGGGGACGACGUCAGAUCAUCAUGCCCCUUAUGACCUGGGCUACACACGUGCUACAAUGGACGGUACAACGAGUCGCAAGCUCGCGAGAGUAAGCUAAUCUCUUAAAGCCGUUCUCAGUUCGGACUGUAGGCUGCAACUCGCCUACACGAAGUCGGAAUCGCUAGUAAUCGCGGAUCAGCAUGCCGCGGUGAAUACGUUCCCGGGCCUUGCACUCACCGCCCGUCA